AUAAGAGCUAGGCUCUAUGCUUUCGAAAGUAGGAGGUCUCCGUGCUUAUAAAUUAUUUUCGAUGAUGGGAUAUCUGAUUCGGCGAUCGGUUUCGUUAGACAUGAUUUAUGCUAUUGGAACUAUUUAGAAAUCAAAUUUUAUAAUUUUUUGAAUUCGUUUAUCUAGUAAAUGAGUAGCCUCAAAAUGAACGGUUGAAAAUAAAAAUUUCAUAAAAAAUAGUCAUAAAUGACUCAAAUUUCAAAUCGAAAGUAUUGGUCUUGAUAUUGAUGUGAAGUAGAAUUUUUUAUUAAAUUUUCAUAUAAUUUGGAUAUUAAUUUCUACACCGUUGAACUUAAAAACGUGCUACAUCGGCGAUUAAAACAGUCAUUUUUUAGACCUUUUGAUCGCUUGGUAAAUAAUGUUAAAAAAUUAUAAAAUUUGGUUUCUGGAUAGUUCCAAUAUGGUAGAUUAUACCUAACGGAGCCGAUCACGUGUCGAAUUGGAUGUCCUAUCAUCGAAAACAACUUACAAGUACGGAGAUCUCAGUACUUUCGAAAGUAUAGAAGACGUGCUCUAAUACUAAUAAUAAUAAUAAUAAUAAUAAUAAUAAUAAUAAUUUAUUACAAGUUGGGUGGUGGUUGG
rnacentral:lncRNA from 1 species